AUUAAACUUCGGUAGGUGAGGCUACCGCAGGGAUAUGGAUUGCUACCGCGAAAUAAUGGAGACACUAUUAGUUGGUUAGCAGGUUGUGUCGAAUCAAGGCAUAACCUAAUGCAAUUUCAAGGCGUCAAAUGUACGCCAUGCCCUGCGAUGCUAAAGCUUGAACGGUUAAUUGCU
rnacentral:sRNA from 2 species